ACGGGAGGCAGCAGUGAGGAAUAUUGGUCAAUGGUCGGAAGACUGAACCAGUCAAGUCGCGUGCAGGAAGACGGUCCUAUGGAUUUUAAACUGCUUUUGUACGGGAAUAAAGUGCGGGACGUGUCCCGUUUGGAAUGGACCGUAUGAAUAAGGGUCGGCUAACUCCGUGCCAGCAGCCGCGGUAAUACGGAGGACCCGAGCGUUAUCCGGAUUUAUUGGGUUCAAAGGGUGCGCAGGCGGAGGAUUAAGUCAGCGGUGAAAUUUUCAUGCUCAACAUGAAAACUGCCAUUGAUACUGGUCCCCUUGAGAGAUGUCGAGGAUGGCGGAAUGUGAUGUGUAGCGGUGAAAUGCUUAGAUAUGUCACAGAACACCGAUUGCGAAGGCAGCUGUCCAGAGAUCUUCUGACGCUCAGGCACGAAAGCAUGGGUAUCAAACAGGAUUAGAUACCCUGGUA
rnacentral:rRNA from 1 species